ensembl:snRNA U6 U6 spliceosomal RNA
GUGCUUGCUUUGACAGCACAUAUACUAAAAUUGAAACAAUACAGAGAAGGUUAGCACAGCCCCUGUGCAAAGAUACGGCACAAAUUCAUGAAGCGUUCCAUAUUUUU